rnacentral:rRNA from 1 species
GGGACUGUUUGGAGGGCAACUUCUGGAUGGACCUGCCGGGAUCUGGGUGUGGACGGCCUUGGCUGCUCUUCGGGGCGUCCGGUGUACGCUUAACAACCAACUUAGAACUGGUACGG